AUACGUAGGUGACAAGCGUUAUCCGGAUUUACUGGGCGUAAAGGGCGUGUAGGCGGUCUUGCAAGUCAGAAGUGAAAUUCCUGAGCUCAACUCGGGCGCUGCUUCUGAAACUGCAGGACUUGAGUGCUGGAGGGGAUAGCGGAAUUCCUAGUGGAGCGGUAAAAUGCGCAGAUAUUAGGAAGAACACCGGUGGCGAAGGCGGCUAUCUGGACAGUAACGGACGCUGGGGCGCGAAAGCGUGGGGAGAAAACAGGAUUAGAUACCCUGGUAGUCCACGCUGUAAACGAUGAAUACUAGGUGUAGGGGGUAUCGACUCCCUCUGUGCCGCAGUUAACACAAUAAGUAUUCCGCCUGGGGAGUACGGCCGCAAGGUUGAAACUCAAAUGAAUUGGCGGGG
rnacentral:rRNA from 1 species